GAAUCACGUCCCAGGGUGCGCGGGACCCGGCGGCCCCUCUCCCGGCGCUGCCCGGGGCCGACCCCGCGCGCCGCCGGCGGCCGCCAGCACGGCGCGGAGGUGGGCUCACUGCAGCGGCGCACGAAAGGUCACCGCGGUGGCAUUCCUCUCCGCACGCUGUUUACGUGACUUAAUGUACUUCAUACGCUGCUGGUAAGUUAGGGCCGCGAUAAGGGGGCGACCGGGGGAGGGUCGCUAUAAAAGCCCCACGCUGGGCGCCGCUCGCCCACCCCGCAUCCAUUAACCUUUUUACUUUCUUCUUCCCCUCUCCCUUAAAGCUUGUUAUCUAGGCCACCCAAUGACCGACGAAAGAUCUUCCCUCCCUGCUUCUCCCGUGGCCGCUUAAACCAAAUAAAUUUAGCUAUUAAGGGCCAAGAUGUCUGACAAAAGAUCGAAAGGUGUCUUUCUGUGAUCGCUUAAAGAAGCGAAGGAGAAGCUUGCAGCUCUCAAAGUCCGAUAAAGAAAUUCCACACCGGCGCCGGCCUCCCUCCCCGCGGCCUGCUUGAGUCCAGAGACCCUGCGAUCCCGACUUCGGCGACCGCAGAGCUCGGCUAUGUUGCAAAUAUGCAGAGAAUUAGGACGGAAGACUUGUCUACCAUUAUAAAGGCCCCCAGCUUCCUGCCACUUGCCUGACAUUCACUGAGUAUGCACUGCAUGAAGAAAAAAAAUAAGAGUCCCUGGCCAUCUCUUCCCUGGACUGUGCAGGCCUCCCAGAAAGCAGAGAUUUGAGUGCAGGAUCCUGAUGUUGGAGCAGCAAGUAAAUCUAC
rnacentral:lncRNA from 1 species